ACUAAAUGUUGAGGAGGUGGCUUCAUUAAGGGUUGAAGUGCAUUUUUGCCAUAAAUAUAUAUAGUCAAUUAAAUGAUUAAGAUCAGAAUAUACACCCCAAUUCUCAGCUCAAACCCUCACCAUCUUCAUCAUAUCAAUUUCUUAUGAAAACCAAAAUUUCAAUUCACCAUAACUUAUUCGUUUUAGCUCGGUUUUGGUCGAUUCUUGCGGCUACGGAAAGAGGAAAACCAUACCUACUGAUUGAGCCCAAUAAAUCAAGGCAUCGACAAACUACGGAUUUGACGAUUUUGGCUAAGGGGUUCGGCCAAGACAAGGGAAUCGCAAAAGAAUUGGAAUAGCAAGUGUACCUAGACUUGGAGUGACUAGAAGUCCAUCAUUUUUCCGGGAGUCUGUCUUGCCAUGUACAGACCGGCUUCCGUGACCGCUGCAGUAGUACAUUGUGUGACCAGCCAUGACCUAGGACAAUAUUAUAGUUUUGGAAAAUGUUUAUAACGAUGUUAGAUUUACGUAGCCAGUGGUUACAAAAUUAAAUGCUUCCGUGUUAUAACAUAAUUGCGAAAAAUUUAUAGUGAA